CCUGGAUGCCCUCCUUGGGCGUUUCCUCCCAUGACUUGGGCCGCUUGCAGCAAUGCUGGCGGCUCUUUUAUUGACGCC
rnacentral:sRNA from 1 species